rnacentral:tRNA from 1 species
GGGGUCGUAGCUCAGUUGGGAGAGCGCGUCGUUCGCAACGACGAGGUCAGCGGUUCGAUCCCGCUCGGCUCCACCA